CUUAUCAAGAGAGGCGGAGGGACAGGCCCUGUGAAGCCCGGCAACCGGCAUAUGCACGGUGCCAAUUCCUGCGGUGUUUAUUCCGAAAGAUGAGA
rnacentral:ncRNA from 1 species